CGUAGGUGGCAAGCGUUGUCCGGAAUUAUUGGGCGUAAAGCGCGCGUAGGCGGUCUCUUAAGUCUGAUGUGAAAGCCCCCGGCUCAACCGGGGAGGGUCGAUUGGAAACUGGGAGACUUGAGGACAGAAGAGGAGAGUGGAAUUCCAAGUGUAGCGGUGAAAUGCGUAGAUAUUUGGAGGAACACCAGUGGCGAAGGCGGCUCUCUGGUCUGUUACUGACGCUGAGGCGCGAAAGCGUGGGGAGCAAACAGGAUU
rnacentral:rRNA from 1 species